rnacentral:rRNA from 2 species
GUGUGAAUUGCAGAAUUCCGCGAAUCAUCGAGUCUUUGAACGCAAGUUGCGCCCGAGGCUUGUCCGAGGGCAUUUCCGCUAGAGCGUCACCGCGCUCCCCCACCGAUCCACCAAAGGUUCUUCGGACCGAAGGUGCGUUUCGAGUGAAAGUGGCCAUCCCGAUGGGGGCGCACCGUCGUCCGAUCGGGUUGGCUGAAAACGAGGGAAUUUGGCCGCCGUGGUGACGGAGCCCGCGAUCAGGUGAUCCGAGCGCAAGCUCGGAACUCAAACGUGCGUGGCUGCGUCGUCCACCUACGAGAGCGAGUUGGAUACUUACGUGAAGAAAAGCAGGUAUGUGUGUUCGGGGCCCCCCUCCUUAAUUGUGUCGGGGGCGUUUUGUGAGUGUUGCCUUGGGGAAACUUGGGAGAACAUUUGGAACAUACGCGUCACGCAUCAGACCUCUAAUCGGAAAAGACUACCCGCUGAGUUUAA